CGCACAUUGCGCCCCUUGGCAUUCCGAGGGGCAUGCCCGUUCGAGCGUCAUUAAAUCCAAUCAAGCCUGGCUUGGUCUUGAGCGUCGGGGCCCCCCGCGCUUCAAUUUCACCGGCUGGCCGUCGCCCGUCUUAGCGUUGUGAUACACUUCUCGCUAGUGACCGGAGCGGACCACGCCGUUAGAACCCCCUAAAUUUCAAUCGAAAUUUAAUUUAAGGUUGACCUCGGAUCGGGUAGGAAUACCCGCUGAACUUAA
rnacentral:misc_RNA from 1 species